CUCAAUCAGUCACAGCAUCAUAGAAGCUGUUGUGUCGGCUGAUCCAGGGCUCUUCGCAGCUCCCCUCAUAUGCUCCAGUCCCAGGCUUGGUGUCAUUGUCACAGCCCCAGGCUGACCCACUGCAGCAUGGCCCCCCCUACCAGCAGAACCCGAGAGAACCAAUGUCCUGCUGGAUAGCUGUUUGGCGGUACAGGCUGAUGUGGACCAGUGCCACCUAGGCAGGACACAGCCACAGAUAACAUCGCUGCAGGAGUUGCCAGAGGAGGAGGAGGCGGAG